UGCCAUGAUGUCGUAAUUUGCGUCUGACUCUGUGCUCAGUGACAGUUGCCUGCUGUCAGCGUGCUGGGACAGAUGUUUGAUGAACAGCAAACGCUGAGCA
rfam:Chaetura pelagica isolate M959 contig22427, whole genome shotgun sequence.